CUGAACAGUCUGUGACGGACCACUGACCUGACCAGGGUCUACCUGACUCCUGUGGACCAGCAGGGGGCAGUAAAACACCUUCAGGCUCAUCUGCCGCCCGGACCGGAAGUAACAAAGAAAAGCGUCACGAGCGGAGGGAAGUUUGACUGCUAACUUAUGCUAACAAGUCAAGAUCGUAACGUCCUAAUAGUGUAAAUGACCCGGUCCAGCCUACUUUCAUUCUCUUCAUGUAGAGACACACGGCUGAGCUGCAGGGAUGAGUUCACAGGACCCCCGGAGAGGUUCAUGGAGAGGAGCCGGGGGAGGUGGUGGAUGGAGAGGAGCCGGGGGAGGUGGUGGAUGGAGAGGA